GGACUUAGGCUAAACUCAAACCGAGGGCCUUCAAAGCCCUAAAUAAGAGACACUCCUCUUAGUCCCUGC
rnacentral:tRNA from 1 species